ACUCAUUUACACCCUUUGACGUAUAAAUACGUCAAUUAGUGCAUAGCCGCUCCCUCCCCAUGCCGUAUUAAUACGUCAAUCACGUUUUUUCAUGGGGGAGGGUGCAAGAGAGUCUGAUGCAACUUCUCACCACAGGAUUAGGCUUGACGGCAAUGUUAAAUAGCAAAAAAAAAAUGGACAUCGGGUGGCAGUAGUGCAAAAAUCAACCAGCAUCACGCCGCAGAAGUAGUAGAAAGGGCGUACAGUGAUGGAGGGGCGUAUGUGGAUUGUGGUUUGGAACAUUAGCAACUAGCAACGAUGGAGAAAAGGAAAUAUCUAACUAAAAAUGAAUUUUUUUCUGUAUAAAAGCGUCCUCGAAACAAAACAACAAAGGAGAUGGUGUUUGUGUGGAAGAGAAAAUGACGCUUCGGUCACGUAAUCGAAAGCGGCACCCAUCAAACGAACGUCGGCCUGCACAAACAUGGCAUGCUACACGCGGCCCGCAUAGCUCACGCCGAGAUUCGAGUUCAUCUGAUGAAGAUGAACAUGCUCCACGUCAGCGAUCAUCGCUUGGCAGAGCGUUUUUUUGCCUCCCGAUGCCCCACAUCACCCACAAAUCAUCUCCCCGGCGACUUCCAGUGAUGACGGCAAAGAGGCUGCAUUGCUUCGCAUGGCCGACGCCGGGCACACGUCAGCGAUUCGUUGGAAUCGUCUCGUAAUGACGACGACGAAAACGCUGAAUUGGAGAGUGAUUUGGAUCCCGAUAUGUCGGACGAAUACGUGCCUUCGGACAUAACGGAAAGCAGCUGAGAGUCCUGAGCCAGAGCCGCUGGAACGAGGAGAUUGUCCAACCAGAAGCCAAAAGAUGAUGAAUGACUCCUUGCUUUGGUGGUGGAAAGAAAGAUACCGCGGUGUAAAUAAAAUUAUUGUACCUCACUCUGCAGCAAGAUAUAUUUGCAACUUUUUAUGUUUCUAUAAUUUAUACAGUAGGUCGUGCAUCUGGACGUGGUGGGAUGAAUCAAUGUGGUGACAAACUGGAUGGAAGCCAAAAAACAUCUUCUCCACAGCUGCACUUUUGUUCAUAGUUCAAUAGUUUUGUUGUGUGCAAAUAAAUUAUUUUGCUACAAAAA